rnacentral:sRNA from 1 species
ACUCGGCGCCAGCCCCACGGCCAUCACCGGACCGCUGGAGAUGUGACUGGGCUCGGGACAUGAGCCCGCUUGUUCGCUCACUCUCAGUGAAAAGAGUUUUGAAAUGAGUUCUGAAUAGACAGCAUUUUCUUUGUGCGGUUGGUAAAUAACACAGAGCAAAGUUAGCAAGUUGCAGCGCCUCUGCGUUCUGAUUCUAUGGAACCUUUUUGUAGGGAGAAGGGCAGGAUGUUUUUAACUGAAUGUGACCUCACGGGAAUACUAGAGGUAAGGAGAGAAAAAUGAUUGAGGUAACUGUGGGUGUUUUACAUCUCGGAAACCAUGGCUUUUAAUAAGGCCACAUGAAGAGAGAAGCUGGCAUCAUCCCACGCAAAAACCAGUGCCUGGCAGAGUUGUGGAAGAAAAUAAUAAAAUUUCUGAAUGGGGCAGCGUGGAGAAAUCCUAAGAGAAAUAGCAUAAGAGCAUUUUGGAACACAUCCAGGAAAAGAUAACUUUCGACACACCUGUAGACGUUCGCCAGGUAAAGGAAAUCCAGGCCCUUGAGCAAUGUAUUGAUGAAUUGGGGUGGAAAUGUAGGAGGAUGGAAACGAUGGCGGCACUGGACUGUUUUCCAGAAACCAUUUACACAGGCUCACCAGAAGAGGGCAGCGCAGAGCAAGGAACUCUCCGAGGAGUUUCCAAACAGAUGUCUUGAAACCUAAAGUGAAAAUCUCUGCAUGAAAGUAGCCGUUUUUGGACAGCGUCCUCCACCAAAACCAUAUAUCUCUAAAAUAAUAAUAAAACUCCCCAAACAUGCUAAUCUCGAAAUGGGUCCCUCAACAUGGAAGGAUUGAGUUGCAAGGGACAAAAUUUUACUUCCCUGUCAGAGAUGUUUUCACUUCGAUUUUCCUUUUGAUUUAUUUUAUUAUAAAAGACUAUGUGAAGUCUAGUAUUAGUCAUGUGCACAAAUAUUCAUUAUGCAGCUUUUUGGGGUGAUUUUUUGAUAACAAUAUUGAAAAAAUCACAAAUUCAGAUUCGUGGAAGAUUCCCUACGCAACACAGCGUUUGAAGCAAAACGCAGCUUAAGGAAGUUUCCCGUUAAAUCCAUAUUUCCUUGAUGCAAAAUGAUAUCACAUUGUUUUACUUGUUAAUUUUUUUUUCUCAGAAUUACCACAGAAAAUAUUUUUUGUUUUAUAAUAAAACACGUGAUACUCUACAUUGGACAUACAUUUUACGUUUGAAAUCUGGAAAGAAAAACCUACUAGACUGGAACAGAAUUCCAAAGAACGUGAGGGGACAAAUCUAUGGAGACAUUUAUAUUUUGUUUUAGGGUUAUUAUAAAACUCUAGUUUCAUCGUCUAUGCAUAAAUGUUUAGGGGAUCUAAAUAUCUUUUCACUAAAUUUUAUUCUGUAAUCUGAAAGUUGGCAUUUAAGAUGAUCAUUCUUAUAGGCUAAUUAGGAUGAUAAAAUCCUUUCCUCUUUUCAAAAGUUCACGAGCGCAUAACAAAUUGGAACUACUUUUACAAGCCAAGUGUCCCUCUUAUGCCAUUAGCUUUCUUGGAUUUACCUUCUAGAUGACUUUGGCUCCUGUUAACUUCAGAUCUUUGACAUAUCAAGUAUGGUUGUUUUCAAAGGUUUCCCAGGCAACUGCAACAAUUCAUCUGGUUCUAGUCAAAAGUGCCCUUGAACUCUCAGCUCACUUCCCUUCCCUGUAUGAGUAAUGUGUGUAGCAAAAGGAAAAACACCAAAGACUUCAUGUAACGGCUAAUGUGAAUGAUUUGGUGAAGAGAGGAAUGGAUUUCACAAAAGGAUCCACUUGGAUGUUAAGACCUCAGCUGGCUGCCUGAGGGUUCCCUUUGUCAAGCUCUCAUUUGCAUUUAGGGGGAAGGCCACAACCCACAUCAUGUGUUCGGGGUUCUGUUUAACUCUUCCUCACAGUUCCUAGGGCCCCAAACUCUUACCCUAGGUGGCCCCAAGGACUCCUUCAAGGCCAGAUCGCUGGCCCGCCAGGGAGUGACUGCCCCCAAAUCUCUGAGAGAUGCCUCAGGACUCCAGCUGACUCACACACACGCUGACCUGUGAGAAUCAUUCUGUGCUUCUUGUUUCUCACAUAACCCACUGGGAAGCAAUGGUUGGAGUCUUGUUGCAUUUUACUUACAGGAAGAGUUUUAUAAUUACCUCCCAAGAAGUUCCUGAAGAGCAGAGGAGGGAGUAAUUGGAAUCUCUGGUCCUGUUGUUUGUGAAAGGUUCCUCUGCUUAACAUUAAUUACAUUCUGUGUUGCGUUUAAAAGAAAAGAUUUCACCUCAUCUAGGCAGACAGUGCAGUUAGACCAUCACCUUUUUUCCCCUAUAUUUUAACUCUUGUCUUCACAGCUAAUUGACUAGUGACUAAAAUGAUGGCAAAUAAGGCAAUAUAAUAUGGACAGCCUGCAAAUCCCACUCAUGGAGCUCUGUAAGUGGGAGCAGAUUGCUGUCUGAGUACAGGGCUUCUGCAGAAGUCUCCCUAUCAACUCCACGUCGAACUCAAAGUCUAGAGAGCUUCAACAAUUAAUGAUAUGUCAUCUGGAUCCAGUCAUAAAAGCAUGAUGACCACCCCUUCCCCCACCCCUCACCAUUCCUUUCUCCUUGGAUUUGUUAUAUUUCAUUCUGUUCAAUGUAAUUACUGAGAUGUAAACAUUCCAUUGAAAUGUGUCUAAGUAGGCAGAUUUUUAAGAAUCUACUUUUAUGGGUCUAUAACAAAUUUUAGAAAGGCUAUUUCAUUGAUAUGUGAAAGUGUAUAAUAGUUGCUUUAGCUACUAGCCCUUCCAACAGCUACAUUUACCACUGUGAUUGUCACUUUGAAUAAUCCUUGUGUUAUUAAAAUUAAUACAGAUAAAUAUAAUUUUAUAGUAGGAAAUGUAGUUGUCAGGAUGUGAAACAAUAGUAAUCAAUUUGAAUAAAUAUUUGCUACUUGUUUUCAUAAAAGUUUUAAUCCUCAAAAGAGAACUCUGACCAAAAUAGGAAUAUAGCAGGAUCAAUGAAACAGGUGGCAUGAGUCAUCUCACUGGCUUUUAAUUAAAAAGGAUGCUGUGGUUGUUGGCGUGGACUGGACUGCGCAUAGGCAGUUUUAGAAUUUCUUAAGCUGAAAUCCAGCUGGAGAGUUCUUAAUCAGAAUGGACUUAUUUUGAUAAUUUAUAAUCUGUGUAUUCAGAGCAUUGAUGUUAUAGUUUUGAUACCUAAAUCACCGUUUUAAAAAUUCAAAGAGAUAUAUGAAUCCUGAGUCUCGGACAGUUAUUCCUGAGCCAAAGGAUUUCUGUGCAAUGCUAAUAUGUAUAAUAGAGAAUCAGUCUUUCACUAUACAGUUUUGUCAUCAUGUUUCAAUAACUGAAUGAAUAUUCUGAAUUAAUAAGCAUAACGUUUGUAUAAGCUAAAGACUAAUCUAAGCUCUGCAUUCAUUGAUGGGAACCUUAAGCAAAUGUUUCUUUUCAUCAGCUUGUUCAAAAGGCAUAAACAUAAUUACAGUUCUGAGGCGAUAACGUAUCGACUGGUUAAAAUAGUAAGUGGGUCUGGACAAGGUAACUUAAAGUUAUGGGCUGCACGUUGUUUUGAGUACUUGGAAGAAUCUGGAAAAAAUAAUUUUUUUAAAAAGAUAUUUUUACUGUUUAUCUUAUAGAAAAACAGUAUGAGCAUUAAACCCCCACUAGAAUUUUGGAGGUUUUCUUUUUCUAAAGUGUUGGUUAAAAUUCAGAUAAGUUGAUACUUACAGCUUGAGAGAAAAGAUGGGGAAGUGGUAGAAAUAUCAAAUCAUGAGUUAGUUUUAAAUUUCUCAGAAUGCUCAGGGGGCAGUGAGGGAAAGAGGGACUUGCUGGCCAUGUCCCCACACCUCCGCUUUGCACCUUUUGCUGAAGUUAGUUCCCGAAAACAGUGCUGGGUCUUUGGGUUACAUCUGGUUCAGCCUUCUUUUCCUCCUUCCUUCUUUAUCCGUCACAUGGCCUGCCCUCUAUCUCUUAAAUCUUAGGUCUGUUGUGAGACUGGGGAAGGAGUGAUGUGAACAUGUGCUCCUGGGCCUGGAAAUGCCCCUCUGCCCCGACUCCUUCUGUCUCAGCAGUGCUUGUCAUUAAUUCUCCCAACAAAUACCUGAGCCCUUCUCUGUGCAGGAUGGGUCUCAGUGCUUUGAAUGUGCUGUCUCAUUUAAUUUUUUGAGUACCUCUUUAUUGACAAUGCUCUUAUAAUAUUUUAUAUAGAAAGAAUGGAAAGCUAAUCCAAUCUUUUUCUAAUGUCGUUAAUCAAAUUUAUUUAUUUUUAAUUAAUGGUGGCUUAGAAAGCUUUCUUUUAGCAUUACUAUCCUUUAUGAGAUUGUCAUAAAUGUUUACUAUUUCUUCAUUGUUCAUGGCAAGGUGGCAAUAGAUCUUAUUCAGAACUGAUAAUCAGUGUGAUUUAUCUGGUAGCCAAACCAAAAAUCAAACUAUUAUGCUGUUAAAUAUAAUGGUAGCCACUAGAAGAUUUACAUCAAAUGUUAGACCAGAAGCCCUUUCCAUCAGUGACCAGGUUUGGUAUCUGCUAGGAGGGAAAAGCCUGGUAUCUGAUCACCAGUGUUUCUGUUCUUUUUACUUUAUAGUUUGUAAUUUACUAAGGCAUGAUUAAUUUUGCUGAUGUUUAAGUUACUUACAAUCAUAUUAAGAGUUAGAGAGGAGUGAUAUCAGCAAGAUGGCUGACUAAAAGUGCCCAACACCCAUUUCCUGGACUACCCCCACAAAAAAUGAAUAAACAAUGAAUAAACAACUA